rnacentral:rRNA from 1 species
AUUGAACGCUGGCGGCAGGCCUAACACAUGCAAGUCGAACGGCAGCACAGAAGAGCUUGCUCUUUGGGUGGCGAGUGGCGGACGGGUGAGUAAUGUCUGGGAAACUGCCCGAUGGAGGGGGAUAACUACUGGAAACGGUAGCUAAUACCGCAUAACGUCGCGAGACCAAAGUGGGGGACCUUCGGGCCUCACACAAUCGGAUGUGCCCAGAUGGGAUUAGCCAGUAGGUGGGGUAAUGGCUCACCUAGGCGACGAUCCCUAGCUGGUCUGAGAGGAUGACCAGCCACACUGGAACUGAGACACGGUCCAGACUCCUACGGGAGGCAGCAGUGGGGAAUAUUGCACAAUGGGCGCAAGCCUGAUGCAGCCAUGCCGCGUGUAUGAAGAAGGCCUUCGGGUUGUAAAGUACUUUCAGCGGGGAGGAAGGCGGUGAGGUUAAUAACCUCGCCGAUUGACGUUACCCGCAGAAGAAGCACCGGCUAACUCCGUGCCAGCCGCCGCAGUAA